CAGUGAGGGAAAGUCAGGGGGAGAGUGGAGACAAGUGAUUAUGCACGCCUCCAGCGCACACAAGAGGAGAAGCUAACCCGGGAAAUAAUGAUACUCUGAAGAAAUGAACUGAAUCAAUUUGCAAUCGGGAAAUUUACCUUCGAAAAAAAGAAGCUUAUGAUGAGUAGGCCACUUUAAUGAUAUAGAGAAAAAGUGUGAUGUUUUAGAAGGAAAAAGUAAAGAAAUGCAUGAAGAAAAAAAGAAGAGAAAAUACAUGUAAUUAUCUUUAUUCGAUUUUCUGCGAAGUGCAUAUAAUAAAUUGAGAUCUGUUUCAGAAAUUAAGUGAAGUAAGUAGUGGUGAAAAAUCUGUCUGUGAAAUACAAAAAUAAAAAAUAUAUACCUGGUGUUGAAAAUAUAAGCGGAUAAUAGUAAUUAAGAAAUCAAUAAUAAUAACAGCAAACAUUAUUCGAAAUAAUAAUAAACAAUACCACCAAUAACAGCAACAGUCGAUCAACAGUAAGAAUAAACAGUAGAUUAAGAACUUCCUCAAUUAACGAAAAAGGAAAAAAAAAAUCAACAUGGGCGUGGAUGAAAUUAAGCCGUUCAUCUCGGACCCGAACCCGCCUCGCAUCGCUCCCGGGUGUACAGAAGAUCGAGUUAGCAUCUCAGGAACUCAAAAUGGAAGGAUUUUAUUUAAGUCGCAUGACCUUCGAUGAGAGACAUGCGAAUUCCUUCUUAGGGUAUAGAAA